ACCUGGUUGAUCCUGCCAGUAGUGAUACGCUGUCAUUAAGGACUAAGCCAUGCAUGUGUAAGUAUAAGAACUACUCUAGACUGCGAAUGGCUCAUUAUAUCAGUUAUAGUUUAUUUGAUAGUCCCUUACUACUUGGAUAACCGUAGUAAUUCUAGAGCUAAUACAUGCGUCAAGAUCCGACUUCGGGAGGAUCGUAUUUAUUAGGUUACAAAACCAACCCUCUUUCGGGAGGUUCUUUGGGUGAGUCAUGAUAAGCAUGCGGAUCGCAGGGCUUUACGCCGGCGACGGAUCAUGUAAGUUCCUGCCCUAUCAGCUUCGGAUGGUAGGGUAUUGGGCCUACCAUGGCGUUAACGGGUAACGGGAGAUCAGGGUUUGACUCCGGAGAGGGAGCCUGAGAAACGGCUACCACAUCUAAGGAAGGCAGCAGGCGCGUAAAUUACCCAAUUCUAAUUCAGAGAGGUAGUGACAAGAAAUAACGGGUCGGGGCUAAUGCCCCGGGACUGGCAAUGAGAUGAAUUUAC
rnacentral:rRNA from 1 species